rnacentral:rRNA from 1 species
GACGAACGCUGGCGGCGUGCUUAACACAUGCAAGUCGAGCGGUAAGGCCCUUUCGGGGGUACGACGAGCGGCGAACGGGUGAGUAACACGUGGGUGACCUGCCCUCAGCUCUGGGGAUAAGCCUGGGAAACCGGGUCUAAUACCGGAUAUGACUCCAUGACGCAUGUUGUGGGGUGGAAAGCCUUGUGCGGCUGAGGAUGGGCCCGCGGCCUAUCAGCUUGUUGGUGGGGUGAUGGCCUACCAAGGCGACGACGGGUAGCCGGCCUGAGAGGGCGACCGGCCACACUGGGACUGAGACACGGCCCAGACUCCUACGGGAGGCAGCAGUGGGGAAUAUUGCGCAAUGGGCGGAAGCCUGACGCAGCGACGCCGCGUGGGGAUGACGGCCUCGGUU